AUUCGCCACGUGUCAUAACUACAAUCACUUAUCGGAUCUCCGCUCUCUCAUAUUUGAAGCCACACAAGAUGCACAAAUCACUUGGGGGUGAGAAGAAGAAUUAGUUUUGAUCCAUCUUGUGAGAAUCAAUCAAUCGAUCAAUAAUGGCUGCUUCAGUGAUGCUAUCAUCGGUGACAUUGAAACCAGCUGGUUUCUCGGUGGAGAAGACCUCGGCCAGAGGAUUACCUUCGCUCACUAGAGCUCGUCCCUCCUUCAAAAUCGUCGCCAGUGGCGUCAAGAAGAUCAAGACCGACAAGCCCUUCGGUUCGUAGUAUAUCUAUAUUAUUAUACCAAGAUUUUACAAUAUAGUCCACGUUUCACCGUUCAUGUAUAGCUUAUAUCUGUUAAAUCGAUGUGUGUAUGCGUAGG
rnacentral:lncRNA from 1 species